AGAGUUUGAUUCUGGCUCAGAACGAACGCUGGCGGCGUGGAUAAGACAUGCAAGUCGAACGAGAGAAUUGCUAGCUUGCUAAUAAUUCUCUAGUGGCGCACGGGUGAGUAACACGUGAGUAACCUGCCCCCGAGAGCGGGAUAGCCCUGGGAAACUGGGAUUAAUACCGCAUAGUAUCGAAAGAUUAAAGCAGCAAUGCGCUUGGGGAUGGGCUCGCGGCCUAUUAGUUAGUUGGUGAGGUAACGGCUCACCAAGGCGAUGACGGGUAGCCGGUCUGAGAGGAUGUCCGGCCACACUGGAACUGAGACACGGUCCAGACACCUACGGGUGGCAGCAGUCGAGAAUCAUUCACAAUGGGGGAAACCCUGAUGGUGCGACGCCGCGUGGGGGAAUGAAGGUCUUCGGAUUGUAAACCCCUGUCAUGUGGGAGCAAAUUAAAAAGAUAGUACCACAAGAGGAAGAGACGGCUAACUCUGUGCCAGCAGCCGCGGUAAUACAGAGGUCUCAAGCGUUGUUCGGAAUCACUGGGCGUAAAGCGUGCGUAGGCUGUUUCGUAAGUCGUGUGUGAAAGGCGCGGGCUCAACCCGCGGACGGCACAUGAUACUGCGAGACUAGAGUAAUGGAGGGGGAACCGGAAUUCUCGGUGUAGCAGUGAAAUGCGUAGAUAUCGAGAGGAACACUCGUGGCGAAGGCGGGUUCCUGGACAUUAACUGACGCUGAGGCACGAAGGCCAGGGGAGCGAAAGGGAUUAGAUACCCCUGUAGUCCUGGCAGUAAACGGUGCACGCUUGGUGUGCGGGGAAUCGACCCCCUGCGUGCCGGAGCUAACGCGUUAAGCGUGCCGCCUGGGGAGUACGGUCGCAAGAUUAAAACUCAAAGGAAUUGACGGGGACCCG
rnacentral:rRNA from 1 species